AGCUUAUGGGGUCAGGAGCAGCUUAUAGGGUUUAUAGGGUCAAGGUUGGGGUUAUGGGGUCAAGGUUGGGUUUAUAGGGUCAAGGUUGGGUUUAUGGGGUCAAGGUUGGGUUUAUAGGGUCAAGGUUGGGUUUAUAGGGUCAAGGUUGGUUUUAUGGGGUCAAGGUUGGGUUUAUGGGGUCAAGGUUGGCUUUAUAGGGUCAAGGAUGGGGUUAUGGGGUCAAGGUUGGGUUUAUAGGGUCAAGGUUGGGUUUAUAGGGUCAAGGUUGGCUUUAUAGGGUCAAGGUUGGGUUUAUGGGGUCAAGGUUGGGUUUAUGGGGUCAAGGUUGAGUUUAUAGGGCCAAGGUUGGGUUUAUGGGGUCAAGGUUGGGUUUAUGGGGUCAGGGAUGGGUUGGAUGGGUUUAUAGGGUCGCGGUUGGCUUUAUAGGGUCAAGGCUGGCUUUAUGGGGUCGCCGCUCCCUAUAGGAUUUCUUAUGGGGUCCUUAUGGGGUCGCAGCCCCCCACACCUUGCGCAGGCGCCCCAUUUCCUCUUGUAGGGUUUUGAGGCG